rnacentral:rRNA from 1 species
UACGUAGGGAGCGAGCGUUGUCCGGAUUCAUUGGGCGUAAAGAGCUCGUAGGCGGCUUGGCAAGUCGGGUGUGAAAACUCCAGGCUCAACCUGGAGACGCCACCCGAUACUGCCAUGGCUAGAGUCCGGUAGGGGACCACGGAAUUCCUGGUGUAGCGGUGAAAUGCGCAGAUAUCAGGAGGAACACCGGUGGCGAAGGCGGUGGUCUGGGCCGGUACUGACGCUGAGGAGCGAAAGCGUGGGGAGCGAACAGG